CAGUGACACCAAGGUAAACUAGACACUGCAGGUCAUAGGUCAGUGACACCAAGGUAAACUAGACACUGCAGGCCAUAGGUCAGUGACACCAAGGUAAACCGUAGACACUGCAGGUCAUAGGUCAGUGACACCAAGGUAAACCGUAGACACUGCAGGUCAUAGGUCAGUGACACCAAGGUAAACCGUAGACACUGCAGGUCAUAGGUCAGUGACACCAAGGUAAACCGUAGACACUGCAGGUCAUAGGUCAGUGACACCAAGGUAAACCGUAGACACUGCAGGUCAUAGGUCAGUGACACCAAGGUAAACCGUAGACACUGCAGGUCAUAGGUCAGUGACACCAAGGUAAACCGUAGACACUGCAGGUCAUAGGUCAGUGACA